rnacentral:misc_RNA from 1 species
AAACAAUCUUAGAGGAUUAAGCAAGCGCACGUUCAGAGAGUUGAUGUUUAGUGGAAAUCAAUCGUGUUAAUGCCCAAGGUUGCUGAGAACUAUAAUUAUAUUAAAUAAAAUAAGCGGUCGUCUUAGACGACAAAUUAGGUGGUACCACGGUAAAAAAUCGUCCUAAUC